rnacentral:rRNA from 1 species
UCCCGGCAGCUCAAGUGGUAGCCGCGAUUAUUGGGCCUAAAGCGUUCGUAGCCGGAUAAGUAAGUCUUUGGUUAAAUCCUGCGACUUAACCGUGGGAAAUCUAGAGAUACUGCUUGUCUUGAGACCGGGAGAGGUUGGAGGUACUUUUAGGGUAGGGGUGAAAUCCUGUAAUCCUAAGGGGACCACCUGUGGCGAAGGCGUCCAACUGGAACGGGUCUGACGGUGAGGGACGAAACCGAGGGGAG